rnacentral:lncRNA from 1 species
GUCAAAAUCAAAAGUAACAGUUAGUAUCUGGUGUGGCCACCAGCUGCAUUAAGUACUACAGUGCAUCUCCUCCUCAUGAACUGUACCAGAUUUGCCAAUUCUUGCUGUGAGAUGUUACCCCACUCUUCCACCAAGGCAUCUGCAAGUUCACGGACAUUUCUGGGGGGAAUGGCCCUAGCCCUCACCCUCCGAUCCAACAGGUCCCAGACGUGCUCAAUGGGAUUGAUAUCCGGGCUCUUCGCUGGCCAUGGCAGAACACUGACAUUCCGGUCUUGCAGGAAAUCCCACACAGAACGAGCAGUAUGGCUGGUGCCAUUAUCAUGCUUGAGGGUCAUGUCAGGAUGAGCCUGCAGGAAGGGUACCACAUGGGGAAAGAGAAUGUCUUCCUUGUAACGCACAGCGUUGAGAUUGCCUGCAAUGACAAUAAGCUCAGUCCGAUGAUGCUGUGACACACCGCCCCAGACCAUGACGGACCCUCCACCUCCAAAUCGAUCCCGCUGCAGAGUACAGGCCUCGGUGUAACGCUCAUUCCGACGAUAAACGCGAAUCCGACCACCACCCCUGGUAAGACAAAACUGCGACUCGUCAGUGAAGAGCACUUUUUGCCAGUCCUGUCUGGUCCAGCGACGGUGGGUUUGUGCCCAUAGGCAACGUUGUUGCCGGUGAUGUCUGGUGAGGACCAGCCUUACAACAGGCCUACAAGCCCUCAGUCCAGCCUCUCUCAGCCUAUUGUGGACAGUCAGAGCACUGAUGGAGGGAUUGUGCGUUCCUAGUGUAACUCGGCAGUUGUUGUUGCCAGCCUGUACCUGUCCCAAAGGUGUGAUGUUCGGAUGUACCGAUCCUGUGCAGGUGUUGUUACACGUGGUCUGCCACUGCGAGGACGAUCAGCUGUCCAUCCUGUCUCCCUGUAGCGCAGUCUUAGGCGUCUCACUGUAUGGACAUUGCAAUUUAUUGUCCUGGCCACAUCUGCAGUCCUCAUGCCUCCUUCCAGCAUGCCUAAGGCACGAUCACGCAAAAUGUUUUAUUGAUUUUUAUUUUUAUUUUUCACCUUUAUUUAACCAGGUAGGCAAGUUGAGAACAAGUUCUCAUUUACAAUUGCGACCUGGCCAAGAUAAAGCAAAGCAGUUCGACACAUACAACAACACAGAGUUGCACAUGGAGUAAAACAAACAUACAGUCAAUAAUACAUUAGAAAAAUAAGUCUAUAUGCAAUGUGAGCAAAUGAGGUGAGAUAAGGGAGGUAAAGGCCAAAAAAAGCCAUGGUGGCAAAGUAAAUACAAUAUAGAAAGUAAAACACUGGAAUGGUAGAUUUGUAGUCAGUCAAUACGGAACAUUUCAAUAACUUUGAAAGUUUCUUCAAGAGCACUCAUAAAAACAAUCAAGCUCUAUGAUGAAACUGGCUCUCAUGAGGACCAACAUAGGAAAGGAAGACCCAGAGUUACCUCUGCUGCAGAGGAUAAGUUCAUUAGAGUUAACUGCACCUCAGCUUGCAGCCCAAAUAAAUAUUCAAAGUUCAAAUAACAGGAACAUCUCAACAUCAACUGUUCAGAGGAGACUGGGUGAAUCAAGCCUUCAUGGUCGAAUAGCUGCAAAGAAACCACUACUAGAGGACACCAAUAAGAAGAGACUUGCUUGGGCCAAGAAACACCAGCAAUGGACAUUAGACUGGUGGAAAUCUGUCCUUUGCUCUGAUGAGUCCAAAUUUGAGAUUUUUGGUUUCAACUGCCUUGUCUUUGUGAGACGCAGAGUAGGUGAACGGAUGUGUAGUUCCCACCAUGAAGCAUGGAGGUGGAGGUGUGAUGGUGCGUUGGUGGUGACACUGUCGGUGAUAUAUUUAGAAUUCAAGGCACACUUAACCAACAUGGCUACCACAGCAUUCCGCAGCGAUACGCUAUCCCAUGUGGUUUGUGCUUAGUGGGACUAUCAUUUGUUUUUCAACAGGACAAUGACCCAACACACCUCCAGGGUGUGUAAGGGCUAUUUGACCAAGAAGGAGAGUGAUGGACUGCUGCAUCAGAUGACCUGGCCUCCACAAUCACCUGACCUCAACCCAAUUGAGAUGGUUUGGGAUGAGUUGGACAGCAGAGUGAAAGAAAAGCAGCCAACAAGUGCUCAGCAUAUGUGGGAACUCCUUCAAGACUGCUGGAAAAGCAUUCCAGGUGAAGCUGGUUGAGAGAAUGCCAAGAAUGUACAAAGCUGUCAUCAAGGCAAAGGGUGGCUACUUUGAAGAAUCUCAAAUAUAAAAUAUACACUUUUUGGUUUACUACAUGAUUCCAUAUGUGUUAUUUCAUAGUUUGACUUCUUCACUAUUAUUCUACAAUGUAGAAAAUAGUACAAAUAAAGAAAAACCCUUGACUGAGUAUGUGUGUCCAAACUUUUGACUGGUACUGUAUAUAUAACCAUAAUGAAUGUUAAACCAUUGUGUGGUGUUUGGGUCUGUGGGACCCAUUUUCAAUGUUA